rnacentral:SRP_RNA from 1 species
GCUGGGCAUGGUGGCGCAUGCCUGUAGUCCCAGCUACUUGGGAAGCUGAAGUAGGAGGAUCACUUGAGCCUGGGAGGUCGAGGUCACAGUGAUAGCACCACUGCACUCCAGCCUAGGUGACAGAGUGAGACCCUGUCUCAA